UUUGCUAGUAGCGGCAAAAAUCAAAUCGCGCGUUCCGGACCACCCCCUCUGCUCCUUCUCCCUUUUUCCGCCUUCGAUACGGUGUAGCGGCCGAGAUGGGGUUCGUGCCCUCCGCCGGGAGGGUCCUCCUGCCGCCUUCCUCCUCUCCGCCUGCCAAGAGUACGUCGUACUACGCUCCCUCUGUCCCUGACCUCACUACCUCCUCCCUCCUCAGACCUUGCUCCGCACUGUCGCUAGUUGCGUUUGGAUCUGGGUACGUGGUCUUGUGUGCAAUUGGGUAGUAACCUAUUUUGGGUACCCAAAAUUGAUUAACUGUGGUUGCUGAUAAAAAUUCGACUUCUGCUCGCGGCACCAUUAUUUGAUGAUUUAGUUUCUUUUCUACGGAAGUGAUUUAGUGUCGUGACUUGUGAAUUACCGUCUGAUGCCUCUGAACUGUGCAAGUUAGAUAGAAGAACGAAACCAAGUAGUAGGAUUUCUACUGAAUAUUUAGGCGUGUGAACGUAUUUGGAACUGGAUACGCACGCUGUUUCUAGAAAUCUCUUGUUUACUCCAGCUGAUUGCAGCUAUCCUUGUUCAUGAUGCUAUAGGAUCAGAAAUGCAUAUAAAUUGUAAAAUGUCUUACAUGUAAAUAAAACUAGAGAAUUCUAAGAAGUUAUACAUUCGUAAUUUGAUGGAGUAUAAUUUUCCUUGCAUACCAACUCCUCCGACAUUGAUUCUAGCCACUUCGCCACCUGAUGCUGCCCUUUUGUACCUCCACAAAGUGGUGAGUCGGCCUCCAAGGAAGCCAUUUGGUUGCCGCUAUUAGGCCGGCUAUGACUACGUAGCCCCAGUUAUGAGAUUAGUUCAGCCUGCUAACUAGCUGUGGUCCGAUCGUCAACUUACUCAGCUGUCAGUCUAGUUUCUCGAACACUGGCAUAGGCUAUAACCGAGAAAAUGCAAGCCUAAGCUCCCACUCACUGCAACUACUCACUUGUUCACCUUGGUUUGAUUUUAAAAAAAAAAUGUUGUUUGUAAUUUGUUUGGGUUAUUUAUUUUAGAAUUUUCCGACUCCUUACAUUUUUUGGUCCUUAUCCCAUCACUUACAUGUUUAUGUAGAUGUAUGUAUUGGAGAACUGAAAUACUCCCAUUGGUUCAAAACAGAGGUCGUUUCAGCAUUACCCACUUGCUACUUGUAUCAAAGUCCAACUCAUUUUACAAGUUCUAUGAACUUUCACAUCUUGUGAUUCUGUUUACUAAACUUAGUUCCAUCAAUCAAUGGUUAUCCUUUUGUGGUGUUUCACAAUCAGUGCUGCUGAGGUUUGUUUUAUUUUGUUAUAUCCUGUUCUCAAGCACAGGGAUGCAUGUGAUAUAUACCAAGAACUAAGUGGAGGAAACCUUCUUGAAUGUGUGAUAGCCGUUUUGCUAAAAAGAAAGAAAUUAGCUAUAGUUCUACUUUCCCAACUAAAGCAACAUAAUCCUCUACUGCUCUAGUGGUGUCUUUAGUUUCUCUGCCGGGUUCUUUCUAUGGUUGUUUUUAUGUGUAUCUGUAUCGUAUGCUGACACAAACUAUGCAUUCUUUGGGUUCUAGCCAUGCAUUAUAUUGUACUACUAGUGGAGUAGUUGUUGUCUGUGAGAUUUUUAGUUUCAAGUAUGAUUAGUUUUGUAUCAUAAAAAAUACCUCAACAUUAAUUAUCUGAUAGAACAGUAUAGGAUUACAUAUCAAUAUGUUUGAUACAAAUCAUUUAUUAAUUUUAAGGUGAACAAACAUAAUAAGCAUCAUAGUUCAUGCAAAGUGAAGAUUUGUGCAUGGGUGGCCAAGGUGUCAGCCGAUUGGCUAUUAGUGGCCCAUGGGCCCUAAUUGUUAAGCUCCAGUAGUCCACCCUAUUCGCUGGGAGCCCCAUAUCAUACCUGUUUAGAGCCCAGUUGAGUGUAUUCAUCAGGGCCGGCACUCCACCAAACUUUAUUCCCUCAUCGCCAAGUCGGGGAUGUUCCAUACAGUUUAGAUAGUCUACUCGCGUUCAGGUAUACCGGGUAGGACAAGGCAGAGACUGGUUGCAGCAACCAAGUUUGUUUUUGGCAGAACUGGAGAUCACACAGUGUCGAAUAUGUAUCGCGAUCCUAUUGAUUCUGCAACACAUCGAGUAAUCCUAGUCUGACUGAAGGGCGGGGAUCGUGGGAGAAUGGAGGGCAUCGCUUCUUUGUAUGAUCCCACUUGCCAGACCUGAGAGUAGGUGAAAUGCCAACGACCAACUAAGAUCUUCAGAAGUCGGAAGGCUUAACCAAUACCACAUUAAGUUCACAGAGAUACGAUAAAGAACUAAUUGAAUGGAAAAUUGUAAAUAUAAAUAUUACAUACUUCUUUCUGGCGGUUGCUAGAACACAUGAACAACUCAUUUGAGCUCCGGAAUUAAGUUUGGAUGGAAGACUGAAAGUUAGUACAAUAAGGGCUUAUUGCUUUGACUUGUCUUAUAUAACUGGAUUGAGGUUAUGCCAGGUGAGUCUGCUUAACUGGAUAGUUCUACUAUAUUAUUAUACUAUUACAUAUUAGGGUUCAUCUUUGUCUCUGUGAGACUACAACUAUGCUACAAUUUAUAGUCUAGAAAAUCAUAUUAUGGCAAUAAAAUACAUUUUCAGGGAUGCUUCUUUUACUCGCAUCUGCAGUCUGUUUACCUCGCUGUUGUUACCCGUAUCGUUAAUGAUUUCUAUAUAUAUGAAAGUGCUGAAUUUGUGCAGCUCUUCAUCAACUUCAGACAGAAUUCCAUUCCCACAAGGCAGACGAUCAGGAAGAAGGCUUCCAAGUGGAAGACAAACUAAGGUUCUGAAUGUCUACAGCCACAUAUUUUUGCCUGAUGGUGUCAGGGGUUCCCUUUUUGUUCCGACUCCGAGUGAAGUUUCAUUCCCCAGUCCUUGGGCUUCCACAGGGAUCUUCUGAAGCUGGUAUGGGUACACGUUGACCUUUGGAAGCAGUUAAAUAUGCAUGACAUUCUGACCCAUGCAGAGGGACUCUGAUCACGUUCUAAUGGCUGAUAAACUAGUUCAGUUGGUGUUGAAUUUCAUUAUGUUGUAACAGCGUGUACCCCUGUUUGCUUCUUGAGAUGGGUUGGUUAGGAAGUGAUCUUCAUAGUGUUUUACGCACGUCUUCCAUUCUAGGAGUACUAUAGUAUAAAUUGACAAAUUGGUGGUGAGAAUUACAGUAUUUGGUUCCUACAACAUUCCUGGUGCAUAAUGGCAUUAUCAUAGUUCUUCCGCCA